UACGAAGGGGGCUAGCGUUGCUCGGAAUCACUGGGCGUAAAGGGUGCGUAGGCGGGUCUUUAAGUCAGGGGUGAAAUCCUGGAGCUCAACUCCAGAACUGCCUUUGAUACUGAAGAUCUUGAGUUCGGGAGAGGUGAGUGGAACUGCGAGUGUAGAGGUGAAAUUCGUAGAUAUUCGCAAGAACACCAGUGGCGAAGGCGGCUCACUGGUCCGGUACUGACGCUGAUGUGCGAAAGCGUGGGGAGCAAACAGG
rnacentral:rRNA from 1 species